rnacentral:rRNA from 1 species
AUUGAACGCUGGCGGAAUGCUUUACACAUGCAAGUCGAACGGCAGCACGGACUUCGGUCUGGUGGCGAGUGGCGAACGGGUGAGUAAUACAUCGGAACGUACCCUGACGUGGGGGAUAACGUAGCGAAAGUUACGCUAAUACCGCAUACGUCCUGAGGGAGAAAGCAGGGGAUCGUAAGACCUUGCGCGUUAGGAGCGGCCGAUGGCGGAUUAGCUAGUUGGUAGGGUAAAGGCCUACCAAGGCGACGAUCCGUAGCGGGUCUGAGAGGACGACCCGCCACACUGGAACUGAGACACGGUCCAGACUCCUACGGGAGGCAGCAGUGGGGAAUUUUGGACAAUGGGCGAAAGCCUGAUCCAGCCAUUCCGCGUGCAGGAUGAAGGCCCUCGGGUUGUAAACUGCUUUUGUACAGAACGAAAAGGUUUCUACUAAUACUAGGAGCUCAUGACGGUACUGUAAGAAUAAGCACCGGCUAACUACGUGCCAGCAGCCGCCGUAA